AACGAACGCUGGCGGCGUGCCUAACACAUGCAAGUCGCGCGAGAAAGUCUCCGCAAGGGGGCGAGUAAAGCGGCGCACGGGUGAGUAACACGUGAGUAAUCUGCCCGCGAGAUCGGAAUAACCUUCCGAAAGGAGGGCUAAUACCGAAUAGGACCACGAGGGCUCUAUGCUCUUGAGGUGAAAAGGUGGCCUCUGUAUACAAGCUACCACCCGCGGAGGAGCUCGCGGCCCAUCAGCUUGUUGGCGGGGUAACGGCCCACCAAGGCUACGACGGGUAGCGGGUCUGAGAGGACGAUCAGCCACACUGGAACUGAGACACGGUCCAGACUCCUGCGGGAGGCAGCAGUGGGGAAUUUUGCGCAAUGGGCGAAAGCCUGACGCAGCAACGCCGCGUGAGUGAUGAAGGUCUUCGGAUCGUAAAGCUCUUUCGACCGGGACGAAAACGGCGGAGCGAAUAGCUCCGUCCUUGACGGUACUGGGAGAAGAAGCACCGGCUAACUCUGUGCCAGCAGCCGCGGUAAAAC
rnacentral:rRNA from 1 species